rnacentral:rRNA from 1 species
CCUACGGGUGGCAGCAGUGGGGGAUAUUGCACAAUGGGGGGAACCCUGAUGCAGCGACGCCGCGUGGGUGACGGAGCGUUUCGGCGUGUAAAGCCCUAUCGGCAAGGAAGAAGAUGACGGUACGUGACCAAGAAGCCCCGGCCAACUACGUGCCAGCAGCCCUGGUAACACGCAGGGGGGAGGCGUUAUCCGGAUUUACUGGGCGUAAAGGGGGCGUAGACGGCAAUGCAAGCCAGGAGUGAAAGUCCUGGGUCUAACCCCCGGACUGCUCUUGGAACUGCAUGGCUGGAGUAGAGGAGGGGCAGGCGGAAUGCGUAGUGUAGCGGUGAAAUGCGUAGAUAUUGGGAAGAACACCGGUGGCGAAGGCAGCCUACUGGA